rnacentral:snRNA from 1 species
AGCUUUGCGCAGUGGCAGUAUUGUAGCCAAUGAGGUUUAUCCGAGGGGCAAUUAAUGCUAAUUGAAAACUUUUCUAAACCUCUACCGUAUUUGCUCUUGAAUAAGAGAAAAAAACAAACUGCUCUUACCCUUCUACUCACGUGC